UAAAUACUUCCUCCGUCCGAAAAUAUUUGUCAUCAAAAUAAAUAAAAAAGGAUGUAUCCAGAUGUAUUUUAGUUCUACAUAUAUUCUUUGUUGUCCACUUUAAUGACAAGUAUUUUCGGACAAAGGGAGUAGUAU
rfam:Triticum aestivum genome assembly, contig: Triticum_aestivum_CS42_TGACv1_scaffold_146604_2BS